rnacentral:rRNA from 1 species
GUGUCAGCAGCCGCGGUAAUACGGAGGGUGCGAGCGUUGUUCGGAAUUACUGGGCGUAAAGCGCGUGCAGGCGGCCGACUAAGUCAGGUGUGAAAGCCCGGGGCUCACCUCCGGAAGUGCGCUUGAAACUGGUCGGCUAGAGUACGGGAGAGGGAAGCGGAAUUCCUGGUGUAGCGGUGAAAUGCGUAGAUAUCAGGAGGAACACCGGCGGCGAAGGCGGCUUCCUGGACCGAUACUGACGCUGAGACGCGAAAGCGUGGGGAGCAAACAGGAUUAGAUACCCUGGUAGUCC